rnacentral:rRNA from 1 species
GACGAACGCUGGCGGCGUGCCUAACACAUGCAAGUCGAACGCAGUGGGGACGGGUGAGUAACACGUGGGUAACCUCGCAUCAGAGGGGAGAACACUUGGAAACAGGUGCUAAACCGAUACUGAUUGAUGGACCCGGGGGGGAUUAGCUAGUGGGUGGGGUAACGGCUCACCAAGGCCACGAUGCAUAACCGACCUGAGAGGAUGAUCAGCCACACUGGGACUGAGACACGGCCCAGACUCCUACGGGAGGCAGCAGGAGGGAAUCUUGGACAAUGGGCGAAAGCCUGAUCGAGCAAUGCCGCGUGUGUGAAGAAGGUUUUCGGAUCGUAAAACUCUGUUGGUAGAGAAGCGGUAUCUAACCAGAAAGCCACGGCUAACUACGUGCCAGCAGCCGCGGUAAUAC